rnacentral:rRNA from 1 species
AUAUCAAUAAGCGGAGGAAAAGAAACCAACAGGGAUUGCCCUAGUAACGGCGAGUGAAGCGGCAACAGCUCAAAUUUGAAAUCUGGCCUUCGGGUCCGAGUUGUAAUUUGUAGAGGAUGCUUUUGGUGAAGUGCCUUCCGAGUUCCUUGGAACAGGACGCCUUAGAGGGUGAGAGCCCCGUACGGUUGGACACUGAGCCUCUGUAAAGCUCCUUCGACGAGUCGAGUAGUUUGGGAAUGCUGCUCUAAAUGGGAGGUAAAUUUCUUCUAAAGCUAAAUACCGGCCAGAGACCGAUAGCGCACAAGUAGAGUGAUCGAAAGAUGAAAAGUACUUUGAAAAGAGGGUUAAAUAGCACGUGAAAUUGUUGAAAGGGAAGCGUUUAUGACCAGACCUUUGCCGGGCGGAUCAUCUGGUGUUCUUCACCAGUGCACUUCGCCCGGCUUAGGCCAGCAUCGAUUUCUUUAGGGGGAUAAAGACCUAGGGAACGUAGCUCCCUACGGGGAGUGUUAUAGCCCUAGGUGUAAUACCUCUAGGGGGAUCGAGGUUCGCGCUUCGGCAAGGAUGCUGGCAUAAUGGUCAUCAACGA